GUCGAGCGAACAGACGAGGAGCUUGCUCCUCUGACGUUAGCGGCGGACGGGUGAGUAACACGUGGAUAACCUACCUAUAAGACUGGGAUAACUUCGGGAAACCGGAGCUAAUACCGGAUAAUAUAUUGAACCGCAUGGUUCAAUAGUGAAAGACGGUUUUGCUGUCACUUAUAGAUGGAUCCGCGCCGCAUUAGCUAGUUGGUAAGGUAACAGCUUACCAAGGCAACGAUGCGUAGCCGACCUGAGAGGGUGAUCGGCCACACUGGAACUGAGACACGGUCCAGACUCCUACGGGAGGCAGCAGUAGGGAAUCUUCCGCAAUGGGCGAAAGCCUGACGGAGCAACGCCGCGUGAGUGAUGAAGGUCUUCGGAUCGUAAAACUCUGUUAUUAGGGAAGAACAAAUGUGUAAGUAACUAUGCACGUCUUGACGGUACCUAAUCAGAAAGCCACGGCUAACUACGUGCCAGCAGCCGCGGUAAUACGUAGGUGGCAAGCGUUAUCCGGAAUUAUUGGGCGUAAAGCGCGCGUAGGCGGUUUUUUAAGUCUGAUGUGAAAGCCCACGGCUCAACCGUGGAGGGUCAUUGGAAACUGGAAAACUUGAGUGCAGAAGAGGAAAGUGGAAUUCCAUGUGUAGCGGUG
rnacentral:rRNA from 1 species